UUUUUUUUUUUUUUUUUUUUUUUUUUUUUUUUUUUUUUUUUU
rnacentral:ncRNA from 6 species